rnacentral:rRNA from 1 species
GUUGUAUGGUUAAGUGACUAAGCGUACACGGUGGAUGCCUGGGCAGUCAGAGGCGAUGAAGGACGUACUAACUUGCGAUAAGCGCAGAUAAGGCAGUAAGAGCCGUUUGAGUCUGCGAUUUCCGAAUGGGGAAACCCAACUGCAUAAGCAGUUACUGUUAACUGAAUACAUAGGUUAACAGAGCAAACCGGGGGAACUGAAACAUCUAAGUACCCCGAGGAGAAGAAAUCAACCGAGAUUCCGGUAGUAGCGGCGAGCGAACCUGGAUUAGCCCUUAAGCACUCGGUGAAGUAGGUGAACAAGCUGGAAAGCUUGGCGAUACAGGGUGAUAGCCCCGUAACCGACGCUUCAUCGAGCGUGAAAUCGAGUAGGGCGGGACACGUGAUAUCCUGUCUGAAUAUGGGGGGACCAUCCUCCAAGGCUAAAUACUCCUGACUGACCGAUAGUGAACCAGUACCGUGAGGGAAAGGCGAAAAGAACCCCUGUGAGGGGAGUGAAAUAGAACCUGAAACCGUGUACGUACAAGCAGUAGGAGCACCUUCGUGGUGUGACUGCGUACCUUUUGUAUAAUGGGUCAGCGACUUAUAUUCAGUGGCAAGGUUAACCGUAUAGGGGAGCCGUAGCGAAAGCGAGUCUUAACUGGGCGCUCAGUCUCUGGAUAUAGACCCGAAACCGGGUGAUCUAGCCAUGGGCAGGUUGAAGGUUGAGUAACAUCAACUGGAGGACCGAACCGACUAAUGUUGAAAAAUUAGCGGAUGACUUGUGGCUAGGGGUGAAAGGCCAAUCAAACUCGGAGAUAGCUGGUUCUCCCCGAAAGCUAUUUAGGUAGCGCCUCGGACGAAUACUACUGGGGGUAGAGCACUGUUAAGGCUAGGGGGUCAUCCCGACUUACCAACCCUUUGCAAACUCCGAAUACCAGUAAGUACUAUCCGGGAGACACACGGCGGGUGCUAACGUCCGUCGUGGAGAGGGAAACAACCCAGACCGCCAGCUAAGGUCCCAAAGUAUUGCUAAGUGGGAAACGAUGUGGGAAGGCUCAGACAGCUAGGAUGUUGGCUUAGAAGCAGCCAUCAUUUAAAGAAAGCGUAAUAGCUCACUAGUCGAGUCGGCCUGCGCGGAAGAUGUAACGGGGCUAAGCAAUACACCGAAGCUGCGGCAAUGUCUUUUAGACAUUGGGUAGGGGAGCGUUCUGUAAGCCGUUGAAGGUGAAUCGUAAGGUUUGCUGGAGGUAUCAGAAGUGCGAAUGCUGACAUGAGUAACGACAAAGGGGGUGAAAAACCUCCUCGCCGGAAGACCAAGGGUUCCUGUCCAACGUUAAUCGGGGCAGGGUGAGUCGACCCCUAAGGUGAGGCCGAAAGGCGUAAUCGAUGGGAAACGGGUUAAUAUUCCCGUACUUCUGACUAUUGCGAUGGGGGGACGGAGAAGGCUAGGUGGGCCAGGCGACGGUUGUCCUGGUUCAAGUGCGUAGGCUUGAGAGUUAGGUAAAUCCGGCUCUCUCUAAGGCUGAGACACGACGUCGAGCUGCUACGGCAGUGAAGUCAUUGAUGCCAUGCUUCCAGGAAAAGCCUCUAAGCUUCAGAUAGUCAGGAAUCGUACCCCAAACCGACACAGGUGGUCGGGUAGAGAAUACCAAGGCGCUUGAGAGAACUCGGGUGAAGGAACUAGGCAAAAUGGUACCGUAACUUCGGGAGAAGGUACGCUCUUGAUGGUGAAGUCCCUCGCGGAUGGAGCUGACGAGAGUCGCAGAUACCAGGUGGCUGCAACUGUUUAUUAAAAACACAGCACUGUGCAAAAUCGCAAGAUGACGUAUACGGUGUGACGCCUGCCCGGUGCCGGAAGGUUAAUUGAUGGGGUUAGCGCAAGCGAAGCUCUUGAUCGAAGCCCCGGUAAACGGCGGCCGUAACUAUAACGGUCCUAAGGUAGCGAAAUUCCUUGUCGGGUAAGUUCCGACCUGCACGAAUGGCGUAAUGAUGGCCACGCUGUCUCCACCCGAGACUCAGUGAAAUUGAAAUCGCUGUGAAGAUGCAGUGUACCCGCGGCUAGACGGAAAGACCCCGUGAACCUUUACUACAGCUUGGCACUGAACAUUGAACCUACAUGUGUAGGAUAGGUGGGAGGCUAUGAAAACGUGACGCCAGUUGCGUUGGAGCCGUCCUUGAAAUACCACCCUUGUAUGUUUGAUGUUCUAACUUAGACCC